GCACAAUUGGCCCAGCGUCGUCAGGUUAGGGUUUGGUCAGGGUAGACCAUCAUUGUAAAUAAGACUUUGUUCUUAACUGACUUGCCAAGUUAAAUAAAGAUGAAAUAUAUUUAUUUUUUUAUUCACCCACAGAGGAGAUGUGCCUCUCAGCUGGUGACUCUCUUGAUUAGUCUCAACCAAAUAAAUCAAAGGACAGCAGGUCAAAUGUAUUAUCACUAGCUCAAAAACGAAUGAAAUCAUUGAUCACUGAGGAGAAAAGUUAAUUGAUACAGCUUAAAAUUAAAACUGAGUUUUAGGGAGUAAAAACGUGAGUUUUACAGAGUGGCUGCGUUGCCGAAAACAUUGGAUGACUUUUCCAGAAAGUCUAGAAAACCGAACCUUCUGCACAUGUGUGUAAUUAUUUACUUUACAAAUGGUUUUCUACUUUUUAUUUGAUAAACCACACUGCACCAUAGAACUGUAUUUUGAGAACCAUAUCAGCUUGAGAUCUAGCAAGGAAUGUUUGGUACAAAUAUGUUCAGACAAAGUUCUUACUAUGUCCUCUCUGGUGUAUACAGUAGCAACACCACUAGGACCUCCUGGUAUGCCUCGCUGUAACGGCAUUCUUCCUCUUCUGAGGAGGAGGAGUAGCGAGAAGGAUCGGAGGACCAAUGCGCAGAGUGUGCAGCUGAGAAGUCUUUAACCCUAAUUGCCUCAUGGGUGUCAUGCCAAAUCCAGCAUUAAUCCAUGACCACGAAAGCCUUUAAAGUCACACGGUCUGCGUAGUGAGUACACAAAACCACAGGUGAUACAUUAUGGCUCUGGAGAGGAUGAAGAAUGGCCCACACAACCACCCACAAAUAUAACUUACAGUCUAGAAGAGUAAAGAAAUCUUGAAAAAUAGGCAUAAAAAGCCUUAUUAUUUUCAAAUCAAAUCUUAUAUUGGUCACGAACACCGAUUAUUAGCUCCAACAGUGCAGUAGAAUGUCUAGCAAAUACGAUACAGAUAAUCUAUAAAUCUAAACAAGAAAUCAAGAAUUGUCAGAACGAGUCCAAUUAACAAUCCAAUAUAGAUAUAUUAGAGUGAGCAGUGUCAGAAUGCCGAAUAUAAAUAUGUGGUGUUUUUAAACAGAAUAUAAAUUCGGAAAAUAAAAUGGUAUGUACAAUAGUAGGUAUAUUAGAAUGGGCUAUGCCUAAUUAAAUCAAUAAAAAUGUUUUUUAAAUUAUUUUUUUAAAUGUUGUGAAUACAGUAUAUACAUACACAGUGAGUAAACAAUAGUAUAUGAAGUGACCUACGUUCAAAGUCUCUAUAUACAAGGGACAUUUUAUAGACUCUUUCCUCGUACAGGAUGGAUUAUAGUGUCAUAAAAGAUGUUAUUCUGGAAUCCCUUUUGAGGAAAAAAGAUACAGGUAUAUAUGAUUUUCCCAGAGUCUCUUUUCAUGUUGUCACUGAAACUUCAACACCACACUACAUUCAUGCAGAGAUGAGUGAUCUGUGUACAUUCACAAAUGACUGAAUCCUCCCUUUCGAGGCCCCUUUCACGGACUGCCUCAAAAAGAGGAUGACAUAACUAUUUGGAUGAACAGCUGAAUGACCUCAAGUUGUAACUCAGUAACUAUUUUGUUAAAAACUAUAUUGGUGGAGUGAAGUAUUUAUCCACAAAAUACUUGUGAAACAUACUGGUUAGUUCUCUGAUCUUUAUGAAUAGUAUAAAUGUACUAAGAUACCAUGUUAGCUACCAUUAUCUGUAACUCAGAGGAGGUCUGGACUACAAAUAAGGAACUGGGGCUUGUAAAAAAAUAUAUGCUUUCAUUUCCUGGUCGAUUCUGCAAAUUUUGUGUAAAUAAAAACAUAAUUUUUCAAAAAUAA